AUUAUUAUUUUAUUAAUUCCAUUGUUUACAAUUAUUUCUUUAAUAUUGUAAUCUACUCUUGAUCUGUAUUCUUUUAGUUAUUUUAACUUUAAUUUUUUCCGUAAUUUCCUUUACAAUUUUAACAGACAGAAUCAUCAUUACAACAGUAUACAGCCAAAUUUAAACAUUCCUCACCAUGUUAGGCAACCAACAUUACAUAUAUCUAUAACAUUUACAUUAAAAUCCACUUUAUUUACCAUCCAAUCUCUCCACCUCAGGUCAUUUAUUGUUUACAUAUAGUAUAAAUCUCAUUCUAUUACACCAAAUUAAACUUUCACCUUUAAAUUUAACAAUCGAUGACGUCAAGCUUCUAACCAUGACUUAUACCGAUCUUAUUUCCAACAAACCUAAAGUUUUUUCUGGAUUAGAGAGUUGCUAUUUAGACUUUACAAUAGAUUCUCAACUUAUUUUUUAAACAUUUUUAAUUAUAUUUUCAAUCAGCUUUUACCUACCUUUACAUUUUAUUAAAAUCCAAAAAAUUAAAAACUACACUUUUUGAAGUUCGUAACCAAAAAUUGACUUUACCUUGUCUUGUCAUGUCACUCUUUGUCAUUCCUUUUCAUUUUACAUCAGUUGGUCUGUGCUAAUUCAAAUGGCAAGUACCUAGUUUUUUCGAGCAGGGAAGCAUGUUGCUCUUUAGGCACAUACAUAUUUUAAUCUAGUAACAUCGACUUGUAGUCAUAAUAUUUUAUCAUAAGGUACAAUGUAAGCCAUAUAUUUUUAAGUUACCACCUUCAUUGGUGUGCUAGUUACAACUACUUUGUGGAAUGCACUGAAAAUGUUCUGUUCAGAACGAAAACGUUUUGCAAUCCAUGUGGAUGACUUUUAGAAGUUUUAAAUAAACUAUUUUAUACCAAAAUACAAUUUGAAGUUUUUACUUCUGUAUAGGUUUUUAAACUAUGGUAUACAGCCAACUAUUGGGAUUUUUCCAUUGAUUUUAUUUUAGUAAAAUAUGUUACCUAUCAAUUGGUGCUAAAUAUACUCGCAAAUUAGGCUUU